rnacentral:rRNA from 1 species
AACGAACGCUGGCGGCAUGCCUAACACAUGCAAGUCGAACGAGACCUUCGGGUCUAGUGGCGCACGGGUGCGUAACGCGUGGGAACCUGCCCUUAGGUUCGGAAUAACUCCCCGAAAGGGGUGCUAAUACCGGAUAAUGUCUUCGGACCAAAGAUUUAUCGCCUUUGGAUGGGCCCGCGUUGGAUUAGCUAGUUGGUAGGGUAAAAGCCUACCAAGGCGACGAUCCAUAGCUGGUCUGAGAGGAUGAUCAGCCACACUGGGACUGGGACACGGCCCAGAACACCACGGGGAGGAGGAGGGGGGGAAAUUUGGAAAUGGGGGGAAGGCUGAACCAAGCAUGGCGCGUGAGUUAAGAAAGGCUUAGGGUUGUAAAGCUCUUUUACCCGGGAUGAUAAUGACAGUACCGGGAGAAUAAGCUCCGGCUAACUCCGUG